rnacentral:tRNA from 1 species
GGGCCCGUGGCGAAACUGGCAGACGCAGCGGACUUAAAAUCUGCGGCCGCAAGGCGUGUGGGUUCGAUUCCCACCGGGCCCA